rnacentral:tRNA from 1 species
GGAGUUGUGGCUCAGAGCUAGAGCACUCGCCUAGCACGCGUGAGGCACUGGGUUCUAUCCUCAGCACCA